UAUUCUGCCCCACGGGGAAGGAUGAGAAGCUUCGACUAAGGUUCGACUCGAGCGAAGCGAGAGAACGUUGCCGCAGGCAACGGCCCGAAGGGCGAGGAGCGAUAGCGACGAGUUAUCCUUCCCCCANA
rnacentral:sRNA from 1 species